rnacentral:lncRNA from 1 species
UCGCCUCUCAUAUCUUAAUCUUUAUGCUAAUAAUUUUACUGGUAAUGUUCCAGUUGCUAUUGGACGAUUGCAGGAGCUGAGGAAUCUUCAGCUUCAGCAGAAUCAGUUUAAUGGCACUUUCCCUUCAGAAAUUGGUGAGUUGUUUAACCUUGAAGUGUUAUAUAUGGCCUAUAAUAGUUUUUUGCCGUCAAAGUUGCCUUCCACUUUCACUCAGCUGAAGAAACUGAAGGAAUUGUGGUUUUCUAACUCCAAUUUGAUUGGAGAGAUACCCGAUAUGAUUGGAGAAAUGGUGGCAUUAGAGAGAUUGGAUUUAUCGGGAAAUGAAUUAAGUGGGAAGAUUCCUAGUAGUUUGUUGAUGCUGAAGAAUUUAAGUGUUCUGUAUCUUUACAAGAACCAAUUAUACGGUGAGAUUCCUCAUGUCGUUGAAGCUUUGAACUUGACUGUCAUUGAUCUUUCAGAUAAUAAUUUGAUAGGAACAAUUCCUGAUGAUUUUGGUAAACUCACGAAAUUAUCAGAUUUACGUUUGUUCUUCAAUCAAUUAUCUGGUGAAAUUCCUGAAGGUAUUGCCCGUCUGCCCGCAAUAAAAGAUAUUCUUUUGUUCAGCAACAAUUUAUCAGGUUUAAUCCCUCAAGAAUUCGGCCGACAUUCAAUGCUGGAGACUUUCGAGGUUGCUUCCAACAGGUUUACAGGGAAGCUACCUGAAUUCUUAUGCAGUAAUGGGAAGUUAGUAGGACUAGUAGCUUUCGACAGUAGUCUCAGCGGACCAUUGCCAGAAUCACUUGGUAACUGCAGUAGUUUGCUAAUGUUACACAUUUCAAAUAAUGCAUUUUCUGGAAAUAUUCCUGUUGGUCUAUGGCAAGCUUUAAAUAUGAGUUUUUUUAUGAUAAGCGAUAAUUUGUUUACUGGAGAGCUUCCUACUGAAGUUUCAAGGAAUCUUCGACGGCUAGAGAUCAGUAACAACAGGUUUUCUGGCAAGAUUCCUACUGGAGAUUCUUGGAGGAAUCUGGUGGUUUUUAAUGCCAGCAAUAACCAAUUAUCUGGUACAAUUCCUCAAGAAUUAACUGCUCUUCCUUUCCUUACCACUCUUUUGCUUGAUAGGAACCAACUCAGCGGAGCAAUUCCAUCUGAUAUAAUCUCAUGGAAGUCGUUAAAUACUCUGAACCUGAGUCGAAAUCAACUUUCUGGAGAAAUUCCAGGGGAACUUGCUCUUCUACCUACACUUCUUGACCUGGAUUUGUCAGAUAACCAGUUUUCUGGCCAUAUUCCAACCCAAUUUAGCUCCCCAAAGUUUAAUCUUCUCAAUCUUUCUUCAAAUCAUCUUUCAGGAGAAAUUCCUGCAACAGCUUCUGUGCUAUCUUUGUUACUCUCAUUUUUAAUUAUCAGAGUUCAUCAGAAGAAAAAGUGCAGAUUAAAUUCAACAUGGAAGUUUACCUCAUUCCAAAAAUUGAGUUUCACUGAAUCAGAUAUUCUGUCACAAUUAACAGAAAGUAACCUGAUAGGAACUGGAGGAUCAGGAAAAGUCCACCGUGUUGCUAUAAGCAGAUCAGGCGAUUUUGUUGCUGUGAAGAGAAUAUUGAGUGAAAGAAAGUUAGAGCAAAAGCUCGAGAAACAAUUCGAAGCAGAAGUUGAAAUAUUGAGUAGAAUAAGGCAUUUGAACAUAGUUAAGCUGCUUUGCUGUAUUUGUAAUGAUGAUUCAAAACUUCUUGUUUAUGAGUACAUGGAGAAAAGAAGCCUAGACCAAUGGCUGCAUGUGAAGAAAAGAUCGGUAAGUGUCUACUUAGACUGGCCUACGAGGUUUCGGAUUGCAAUAGGAGCUGCACAAGGCCUGUCUUACUUGCACCAUGACUGCUUGCCUCCUAUUAUUCAUCGAGAUGUCAAAUCAAGCAAUAUUCUGCUAGAUUCUUCUUUCAAUGCAAAAAUUGCUGAUUUCGGUUUGGCAAGAUUGUUGGUUAAGCACGGCAAAGCCACAGUAUCAACUGUAGCUGGAUCUUUUGGCUAUAUAGCUCCAGGUUUGCAAAAAUUCAUGUUUCCAUUACCAAAAUAAGUAAGUAAAGAGUUCAAUUAAAUAAAAUGUUUUAUGUUUCACAACUUCGAACUGCAGAAUAUGCUGUGACCUCAAGAGUGAAUGAGAAAACUGAUGUCUAUAGCUUCGGAGUUGUGCUUCUGGAACUAACAACCAGAAAGGAGGCUAAUUUUGGGGAUGAGAAUACUUGCCUGACCGAUUGGGCACGGCUUUACAUGAAUGAAGGAAAAGCAAUUGUUGAUGCCUUGGAUAAGGAGAUAAAAGAGGCAUCAUACUUGGAUGAAAUGACCAUUGUUUUUAAACUUGGAGUUAGGUGUACCAGCAAAUCGCCUUCUGCUAGGCCUUCCAUGAGAGAGGUAUUGCAGAUCCUUGUUCGAUGCAGAAAUCCACUUGCUUAUGGACUUGAAGAAAAUGGAAGAGAGAAUGAUGACGCUCCCUUAUUUUAUUCAAAGCAAGGACAGAUGCCAGAUAGUGAUGAUAACUUGUAUUCUCAUCUUCCCCCCAAAACUACUUGUAGUUUCAGCAACAGUAGAGUAUCUUAAACUGUGUAAUAUAUACAUAUAUAAUAUUUUUAGGCAAGCAUAUAAUGAGUUAGACUACAGGCCGAGUAUCUGGCUCCUACUAUUGUUUCCCUUUAUAUAUAUAUAUAUAUAUAUAUAUAUAUAUAUAUAUAUAUAUAUGAGAUUAUAGAAAAAAAAUAGUCAAAUAUUAUAUGAUAUUUUAAAUUUCAUUAAUUUUUAAUUAAAUAUUUCAAAUAAAAUGUUGAUUAGUUUUAAUUUUUGAAGUCAGUAGUUAAAUCCGAUAAAAAAAUCAGAUAAAUCCGAUCUAUUGCCUUUACCCGAAUUUAUUGAGUCAUAUAAAAAUUGCCUUUGGACCUAAACAUUGACAAAUGCUCGCAGUCGAUCUCUGAGGGGCCCGGCCCACAUUGUCAAGAGCAAAGCUUUCUGCUGUGGGCUAAAUGGGCCAACUUUUUGCUACUUGACUUUCCAGGUUACUGGUCCAGGGAUGCACUUGACACUUGACAGGCCCAUUACAUAUUUUUUCGAAGUGUAUGAAGGGAUCAUCAUCAUCCCAUAUAAAACAAAUCACGUGUUUAGCAUAUUUGUUAAAAAGAUAUAAUUUAACUCAUGGUGCAUCCGAAAGACUUCCUCAACGACCAAAGAAUUGGUCAAGUCAAAAAGGAUCUUUGGACUUUUACCCUACUACUUUUUGAAAAGAAAUAAAAUUUAAUUUGAGACUACAAUUAAAAAAAAAAAAAAGCCUAGCAUUGAAUUUGUAUUUUACUGAGGUCAUAAACUGAUAUCAUGAGACUUCUUGCACUUUGAUAGUGAGUUGCUGAGGCAAAUUGAGCAAAAAAUAACUCAAUUUUUAAAUUUUUUUUUUUCUGUAAUUACAAGUUCAAAGGUAAAUUGAACUUUUUUUGCCUACUGAUACAUGAGUGGAACAUCAUCGCACUGUUGCAUAUUAUUAUAUACAUGUUUUCAUUAAGUUAGUUGAAGUCAUACGAUUACAUUUUUGUUACAAUUUUAGUAGCAGCAAAAGAAGUUGGCACUAAGAAUCCUGCAGACUCUAUUUCUGGAUUUCAGGAUUUGGGGGAAAUGAAAGUUAUAUAUCCAAAAUCUUGAAUUUGUCGAAGAUUUUGUAAUAAGAUAAUCCAUUUUUGUUUAGAAAAACUAGUAUUUUGGUCCUGUAAGCUAAUAGAAUACUCAUCCGAGAAUUGAAUACGUAUUUGCAAGAUCAUGGUGUAAAGAAAUUAAACUCCAUGACCUUUAUAAAAAGGGCACAAAAUUCAUUUUUCUUAUAAACUACAAUAUCCUAUUCUAUUACAUCUACCUCAGGUUCAUUGCCUUGUGCAUUGGAUUGACUCCAUCUCGACAUAAUGGGACAAGUGAUGUGGAAAAGCUUGCGAGCUUGUCGCUUGACUAGUGUUUUGGGUUCAUUCCAAAUUUUCCAACGUCUCAACAACGAUGACUGAGAUUGAUUUGUUGGAUUGAGGUUCCUAAUUGUUUGUGAUUCCCACACUUGUGGAGUACCUAGAUUUCAGGUUUUUCAUGCAUAUCUAUCAAAAAUUGGAGCAUCCUGUUGAGUGAACAUGCAGAACCCAAGUGUAGCUUUUGGUUGGUAAGAAACAUGGAUUAUGGCUUUGACCAAGACUUGGUCAAUAAUAGAACUUUGAUGUUUGGUUUAUUACAUUCAUUUCACCUAUUAUUUUAGGGCAAUGAUAUAUAGGAAUCAUCCAACAACCCAAAUGUAAAUAAAUAAUAAUAAAAAAGAAAGAAAGAAAGAGAGAGAGAUUUGUGGAGGGAACGUACGUAGAAGACUUGCUUAACAACCACAACGUCGUUAUCAUAAAAGCAACGUCUUUUUAAAAAUCCAUUUUUUAUAAUAAUGCCUUCUAGAAAUUAGCUGUCGGUGAAUUCUCAGAGAAAAAAAAAUUCAGUAUUUCCUCUGUUUUAAAAAGAUAUUUCAUCUUUUUUUUUAUUUGUCUUAAAAUAUAGUCUAUUUUCAUUUUUUACAUUAUGGUUAAUCUUUAAAUUAUCUACUAUAUCCUUAUUAAAUUUUAUCUUAUUCAAUAACCCUUAUUAAUUCUUAUUAUUCCAAUAUAAUCAUUGGUCAUGUAUUAUUUAAAAUGAACAUAAUAGGAAAAUUAUAUAAAUAAAAUUGUCCUUUAGCCAUAACAAUUUCUAUUUUCUUAAUAUGUGUGAAAAUACAAAAUAGAUUAUCAUUUUGGGACUGAAGGAGUAUAUAGUUAGAAUUCUUCGGUAGAUAGACAAAGUCAAUAUUAAAAAUUAAAUAAUCAGAUUUUUUUUUUUUUGGAAAAAUAAACAUUUUUUUAUUGAAUAGAUGGAUUAAAUAAAAAGAAUUCUUUUGUUCUUUUCAAAAAGUCGAUUGUUUAAUUUUUUAAAGUUAUUUCUGGGUUGUUUUUCUGAGUCUCCAUAUAAGUUUUUAUUAUUUGUGCCAAUAGUGUCAAAUGUAAAGGUCAAGCCAAGUCAAGUCAAUGGUGUCUUGGUCUAGAUUGUCCCUACAAAAACCUUUUCCAAAAUGCGUGGAAAAAUGCUACAAAUUUUGAUGGAAAGAUUUUUGUUUUUUCUGCGUAACCGUGGGUUUAGGGUUUCGGUAAUUUGGUAGAGAAUAUUUUAUCUAUCUAUGAAUCCAUCUAAGCACGAAACAUUUUUCUUUAGAAAUAAAUCUAUUUCUGAUAUUUACUGGGAAAAAAAAAAAAUAAAGUAAAAAUAAUAUUUAAAAAUUUCUAUUGUAAUUUGUUUAAUAGAUUCACAGACUAAGCCUAAGUAAGUUUUGUUCCUAUCACCGGCGGUUUUAUUUAACCAUAAAAGGUAAUGUGUUGGUCCUCCAAUACUCUAGUCAUAAAAUUGUAUAAUACAAAAUGCUAAGAGCAUCUCCAAUGUAAACGUUGAUGUGUUAAUUUAUCUGCCACGUCUAAAAAAUUGAAAGUUAAAAAUAAAAACUUUUUCUAACGUUUUUUUCUAUUUAGUUUGAUGUGUCAAAAAGAAAAAGAGAUAUUAUCUAUUAUGCUCUCUACUUUCAGAUAGCCUAUUAGACACGUGACUCAGCUAUUUUAUUCUUUUUUUCUAUUUAUUCAUUUUCUUUAUUUGUUUAUUUUCCUUUAUGCCUUUUUCUUUAUUUGCACUCAAAUUUCUUCUUGAUACUGAUUUCUUCUUUGUGCAUUGAAGAACCAUUUUUAAAAUCUAACAUCUACAAAUACAUAUUCAGACAUAUCACCAUCCACAGCUUCUAUUUAUUAAAACACAUCAACCACAAUCUAUGGUUGCAUUGUAGAUGCUCUAAUAUUACAGUAAAAGAACUCCUAAUCGUCCAGCCCCCUUACUUACGUUGACAUGGGAAACACUUAUCUAUAACACAUAAGUUUUUAUUGUAACAAGGACCAUUCGCUAGAGCAGAAAUAUAAAACAAUAACAAUUUUUCAAAAAAAAAAAAAAAUUAUGCAUUGGCUGGCAAAUUAUGCACACUAUAUAUAAUAUAAGCUUCGUUUGCAAAACAAACCAUCCCAAACUCAUCUUUCCUUCAAUCUCAAUUUCACAAAUGCCGAAAAUAACAGCCAUUUUUCUUUCAGUUCACAUCUUUGCCAUUUCAUCACUUUGUACCCUCCUCGCCUAUGCUUUCGAUCACGAAAAAGAAAUCUUACUAGGACUAAAACAACACUGGCGAAACCCAUCAGUUCUUCACCAAUGGAGCCCCUCUACCUCUUCUUCUUAUUGCACUUGGCCAGGAGUCAACUGCAGUAGUAACAACUUUUCCAUUUCUGGUCUUCGCUUAGCCAACAUGAACAUCUCCGGAACGAUCCCGCCUUUCAUUUGUGACCUCAAAGACCUUAAAGUUGUUGAUUUUUAUAACAACAGUUUUACUGGAACCUUUCCUGUAUCUCUUCUCAACUGUUCCAAUCUUGAACAUUUAAAUCUUGCUCAAAACUACUUCGUUGGGAAACUUCCUGAUGAUAUUGACCUCUUAUCUCGCCUCUCAUAUCUUAAUCUUUAUGCUAAUAACUUUACUGGUAAUGUUCCAGUUGCUAUUGGACGAUUGCAGGAGCUGAGGAAUCUUCUGCUUCAGCAGAAUCAGUUUAAUGGCUUCCCUUCAGAAAUUGGUGAGUUGUUUAACCUUGAAGUGUUAUAUAUGGCCUAUAUUAGUUUUUUGCCGUCAAAGUUGCCUUCCA